rnacentral:lncRNA from 10 species
AUCUAUCACAUGGCAGAGAUAGAAUAAAAACAGAAAAAUGGCGACGGUCACGUUGUGGCGAGCCUUGCUGCGUCAUUAGAUAAUCCUCAUGCAAAUAGCGGGAAGAACAAAGGAAGGGGAGCCCGGGACCCCCGGGGGCGCAGAGCCUGGAUGUUGUUUACAUGAAGGAUCCGGCGGGAGGAGUCUAAGAGGAGGAGGCGGCGGUGCCGGAGGAGGAGGAGGAGGGAGGGAGAAGAGAGGAAGACCGGAGUCCCCGCGGCGGCGGCGGUCCGGAGAGAGGGCGAGCCCCGCGCGGCGCCGGGGACCGGGCGCUACCACGAGGCCGGGACGCUGGAGUCUGGGGUAGGAGGGAGAACGGGCACGGGGCGGGAAGAGGGGUCCGUCAGUGGCAUUUUUAGCUUGCACCCUGCCACGCAGAUUCUCCCCGGCCGGAGGGGAGGAGGGUGGAGGGAGGGCGGGGAAGCCUCGGUUUCUCUGCACGUUCGGGAACGCCUUCUCCCCCUUCAUUCUCCCAUUCCCAGUGUUUUCCCGCUUCUCCCCGGGCUCACCUGUUUAUUUCCAUCAGCUAGAGCUCGUGGUUUUUUAAUAUAGGCAUGAGAGUCUGUUUCUUUUAUUAGAAACAUUAUUGGGGAGAGGGGUGCUUUGCUGUAAUUUGUGCUGGUCCAGGUCGGUUUUCAGGAAGGGGGAGGGGACUUGGCGGAGACGCCGGCUCCUGGCCGCAGCUGACCCCAGGGCUUCUCCCUGCCUUCCUGUGCGAGGAAUUCUUUCCCUCACUCUGCUACCCGCACGCCAGCUGCCACCUUCCUGGAGAAAGACCACACCUGUGCUUAUCCCUGCUUUGAAGGAGAGGUGAGCUGAGAAACCAGGGAAUCCCCUGCUCUCCAGGGUUCUUAGUUAGUCCUCUCCGCAAUCCCAGCAUUGGCCAAAAAUUGCUGCUUUCACCUGCUGAUUUAAUUUGGCAUGUCUGUCCCCAGCCCCCCUUUCCCCCGGCAAGUUGUGAUCUGCAGAUGUUUUGGGAUUUUCUCUUCCCUCUGGACCUGUCCCCCACCAACCAGCAAAUAGCUCCUGGGCCUAGGUUGAGGGAGAGAGAGAAGUGACCCCCUUUGGCCAGUGCGCUGUUUUUUAUUCCCCUCUGGGUCUUCUAAUGGAAUCUGCUGUCCCUCCGUAGCCCCCUUUAUUUUCCCCUUAAGCUUAACCCAGAGCCAGGCCUAAGCAGCCUGUCUCUGGCUUUCUUUCCCCAGGCCCCACCCUGGCCCCUUUUGCUUUUCCAGCGCCAAAAAAAACGCCUCCCAAGCAGAAGACACACCCAGCCCAAGUCUAACCAUUCCAAAAGGGAGGAAAACACAGAGGAAGAGCAGGGACCCAAGGGUCUCCUGUCCUGAAUAUUCCAACAGCGUUUCCCUCUAAAAGCCUCCUAGCUUUAUAAUCCCUUUAUUCUGCUUACCAGUCGACCCUCCCCUCCUCUUUGCCCCUUGUUCUGUGAUAGAUAUUUGGGGAGAGGGGUGGAGAAAGAGGUUGUCACCCUCUGUUCCUUACAGUGAGGCAUUUUUCUUUUUCUCAGUCUUUUCAUUUAUUAGAUGUUUAGCAUGUAAAAUAUGUAAAUCUGUUUGCAGGCUUAUUUGAACUUGUUUUCUUGCUGGCUAAGGAAUAGCUGAUAUUCUAUAAAGGGAAGGAGGGGGGAAAAGAUCAAAAGUAACACUCUGAGUUUUCCCCAUUUGAGCAUCCCCAGAGUUGCCAGAGAAGACCCUCCUAUAAAAACCAACAGUCUCCCUUCCAUGACAUCACCACCUAAGCCCUUCCAACUUUAGCUUCAGAACAGGAAGAAGGCUCAAAAUAGAACUACCUUAGGAAUCCAGCUCCUUGAAAAGAUCAACUUUUAAAUCAGCUGCAGGAGGAACACAAUGAACUUUGACAUGGGGAGUGAGAAGGGAGAGAAGACUGUAUAGUGUUCAUAAUUGGUUCCUUUGAGGGAGGGUUGGGGGAUACUUACCGUGUAUUUCAGAAAAGCUUUCCUCUAGAGUUGGGUACCUAGACCACUGAAUGAUAAAUAGGAUGGUUCAAGAUUCAUUUAUUGAAUUAUUCAUAAGUUUUUGUACGUCAACAAUAACAAGCACGUUUCAGAAUAUGAAUUAAAGAGGGGCCUCUCUGCAGAAUCUGCUCUAGAUAGAGAAGGUUGUUUCAGGAAGCUAGGAGGGCACUUGAAGACAGAGAACCUGAGGAUGCAGUGACAGCUGCUGUGAGUAUGUAAGUUGAGAGGCUCAUAAACAAUAAUUGUGAUAAACAAUAAUUGUAACUUUUGUAGGUGACUGAUACCCUGGACAAAGAAGUAAGGAUGUCAGGAUUUUCCACCUCUACCUUGGAAAUUAACUUCUUGUCUUUGAAUCUCACUCAGUGUCUCCAUUCAGUCCCUGAAUUGAGAUAUGCUUUCCUCUCUGAGCUAAAAUACUCAGUCUUUUGGAAGGGCUACCUAAUAAACGAUAAUCACUGAAGUGUUGACAACUUAAAGAUUGGAAGUGGAGCAGAAAAUACUUGGUAUAAUUUGAGCACUUGGUGGGUGCUGUAAGAUGACUUUCUGGUUGAUGGGGUAACAUCUUUUACUCUGGUUCGGGUUUAAAAGAAUCCAGGUGACAGAGACAGGAUACCUGCCCUAAUAUGGUAGCCACUAGCCACGUGGCUAUUAACCACCUGAAAUAUGGCUAGGGUGAGGAAGAGCUCAAUUUUAAAUUUUAUUUAAUUUUAGACUUUGAUAACUUGAUUUAGUUAUUGGAAAGCUUAUUUAUAUUUGGAAACAUACUUGAGCUUACGCAUCUACUUUUGAAACUAAGUGUUUUGAAAUCCAAACGCAAAUUAAGUAUUUUGAUGAAAAUUUAGAAUUGGGAUAUGUAAGUGCAAAGUAAUCUUCAGAUUUCAAAGAAUGCAAAAAAAGUAGAAUAGCCCAUUAAUUUUAUGUUGAUUCCAUGUUCAGAUGAUAAUAUUUUAGAUAUAUUGGGUUAAAUGAAUAUGCUAUUAAUUCCACCUGUUUAUUAGUGUGGCUACUAGAGAAUUAAAAAUUACAUGUGUAGCUUGCAUUAUAUACUUCAUUGGACAGCUCAGGCCUGCAUUACUCCUUUUCAUCUAUGAAUUAAUUUCUUUUCUUUUUUUCUUUCUUUUUUUUUUUUUUUUUUUGAGAUAGAGUCUCUCUCUGUCUUCCAGGCUGGAGUGCAGUGACGCGAUCUUGGCUCACUGCAACCUCCACCUCCCAGGUUCAAGCGAUCCUCUUGUCUCAGCCUCCAGAGUAGCUGGGACUACAGGUGUGUGCCACCACGCCCGGCAGAUUUUUUGUAUUUUUAGUAGAGAUGGGGUUUCCCCACGUUGGCCAGGCUGGUCUUGAACUCCUAAGCUCGGGUGAUCCAUCCGCCUUGGCCUCCCAAACUGCUGGGAUUACAGGCAUGAGCCACUGUGCCUAGCCCCAUGGAUUAAUUUCAAAAGUGGUGACUGUAUGAAAUAUUGUUAUUUCAUGUUUGUGUUUCUAUUUUCCACUGCUGUGUUCCAUGUGAUGAUUGGGGACCCCAAGUAUUACAUUAUUACUGUUAUAUUAGGGAGAUUAGUGUAAAAGUCCAGGGUUCUAGAACGGCUAGCAGGGGUGUCAUGGGAAAAUUGGGAUACCCACAUACCCGGCUAUUGCUGCUUUUGUAAAAGGAUCCUGAACAUAGCAAAAGGUACCGGAAAACAAUGUGUGGCAAAGUAACAAUUGUGACACCUGGUGGCAUUUUAGUGAUUCUACUCAUCUGUCACUCACUUCCAUUUAUUUUUUCUUUGCUUCAUCUACUUUCUGUCCCCCUCCCCACCAAAUCACGGCUCCACUCGUGGCAUUUGGGCCCACAAGGCUGCUGACUCCUUUCCUCCAAAAAAAGUACAAUGCUAACGUGAAUAGAGGUAGUGCUGUCUUUGGGUUUUGUUUUGUCUAAUGAGAUUCAGAAAUUGCACUGGAAGGAACUUAGGAGCUAUUCGGUGCUAUCCCUUUAUUUUAUAGAUGACAAACUGCCAAACACCUCACCUAAGACCAUAUAGACAGAGACUGGAAUUAAACAUACUCUUGUUGAUAACUGUUUAGAGGCUCCCUGAGAAAUGGAGAGGUUCAUCAAUUAAUCAAUCAAUCAAGUAUCUGUUGAGCUAGCAUUUUGUGGAAAUGACCACUAAGUGUUGUGAAGGGACAUGAGUAAAACAGUUUCUGACUUUUUUAGAAAGAGUCCUGUUGACUUGAGGAAAUAAGAUAUAAACAGCACCAAAUUAAAUUGCAGUAUACAACACAGCACUUAAUGAGUGCAGUGCCACUGUGGCAUGUGUUACUAGUUAGUAGAAAUGUGUUCAUUUUACAGAUGUAGGAAUAGAAGCUUCGAGAAGGGUGGAACCUGCAGGGAAGUGGAGUGUAAUUGUGUUCCUGGAACAGCCCAAGGCUGUAGAAUUGGAGGUCAUUGCAAGUCUUUGGUAUUGGCUCCUUUAGCUGUCCAUUAAGGGAAUUUGAAAAUCUGAGACCCAGCAUUUUCAAAUGGCAGUGCUGUAGUAAUAAGGCAAUCAUAGAUUAAUUGGAGACCAUCAGGGUUUUUAGAGAUGUUUAGCCAGGGGUGGAUCAUUCCGAAGUUAGCUGGCAUAUAAAACUGACUUGUGAGCAAACCAUAAAAUCUAAAAUCCGGGGGGUGAGAGUGGUGAAAUGUGAUGUAGAGCAAAAUCAGAAAGUAAAUUAACUGUGGAGUAUACAGUUGGACUAAAAAUAUUUGUGCUGAGUACAUGUUUGAAGGGGAGAGGCCCAUAUAAUGUAAUAUAUGGGCCAGUCAUGUAUUUAUAAAUUUUUAGUCUCCUGGAGCCUUUUUGGACUAAACUCUUGGUCAACAUGAGGAAGAAAGCUCAGUCUUCUCUUUGUUACCGUGUCCAUAGGGUUUUUUUUUCGUCCACAUGGACCUUAUAAAGUUACAUAGCAUGAGAUUAAUUAGGGCCAGUGCUCAAAGUCAGUAAAAUGAUGACACCUCUUCUCUAAUCACUCUCAGUUAAUGCUUCUCUUUGAGAAUUGGGGCUAACUUUGUAUAGGGCGGUGGUCCUUGACAUUUUCUUGCCUUUCUGCCUAUUUCUUUUUCCAUAAAAGAGAAAAAAAUUCUGUAACCUGCCACCUCAUCAAUCUUUGGCACAAAUUAGUUUUUAAAAACUCAGUAUAGCAAAGUUUUGCAAUAAAAUGCAAGUAUACAUUCUGUGUACUUGUGACAAAGCAGUAUUGGACAUUUGAGCAACUUUUGCUGACAGUUUAUAACAUCUCAGUGUGGUCAAAUUUGGCCAUUUUAUAUAGUAUCACUGAAUUAGAUGAUAAUUUUCA